ACGAACGCUGGCGGCUGCUUAACACAUGCAAGUCGAACGGAGUGGCGAACGGGUGAGUAACGCGUGAGCAACCUGCCUAUGACAGUGGGAUAGCCUCGGGAAACCGGGAUUAAUACCGCAUAGUCAUAGAUGGGCUCGCGUCUGAUUAGCUAGUUGGUGAGAUAACAGCUCACCAAGGCGACGAUCAGUAGCCGGUCUGAGAGGAUGAGCGGCCACGUGGGAACUGAGACACGGUCCAAACUCCUACGGGAGGCAGCAGUGGGGAAUAUUGCACAAUGGGGGAUACGCUGAUGCAUCGACGCCGCGUGAACGAAUAAGGUAAUCGUAUCGUAAAGGUCUGUCCUAUGGGAAGCAGUACCAUAGAAGAAAGCUCCGGCUAAAUACGUGCCAGCAGCCGCGGUAAUUC
rnacentral:rRNA from 1 species